UCGCCUGGGGAUGGGCCCGCGUCAGAUUAGCUAGUUGGUGAGGUAACGGCUCACCAAGGCGACGAUCUGUAGCUGGUUUGAGAAGAUGAUCAGCCACACUGGGACUGAGACACGGCCCAG
rnacentral:rRNA from 1 species